AGAGCGAACGCUGGCGGCAGGCCUAACACAUGCAAGUCGAGCGGCCGUAGCAAUACGGCAGCGGCAGACGGGAGAGUAACACGUGGGAACGCGCCCUUCGGUUCGGGAUAACUCAGGGAAACUUGGGCUAAUACCGGAUACGCCCUUACGGGGAAAGAUUUAUUGCCGAAGGAACGGCCCGCGUCCGAUUAGCUUGUUGGUGAGGUAAUGGCUCACCAAGGCGACGAUCAGUAGCUGGUCUGAGAGGAUGAUCAGCCACAUUGGGACUGAGACACGGCCCAAACUCCUACGGGAGGCAGCAGUGGGGAAUAUGGACAAUGGGCGCAAGCCUGAUCCAGCCAUGCCGCGUGAGUGAUGAAGGCCCUAGGGUUGUAAAGCUCUUUGUGCGGAAGAUAAUGACGGUACGCAAGAAUAAGCCCGGCUAACUUCGCGUCAGCAGCCGC
rnacentral:rRNA from 1 species